rnacentral:misc_RNA from 1 species
GAUGAAGAACGUAGCGAAAUGCGAUAAGUAAUGCGAAUUGCAGAAUUCCGUGAGUCAUCGAAUCUUUGAACGCACAUUGCGCCCUUUGGCAUUCCGAAGGGCAUGCCUGUUCGAGCGUCAUUUAUCAACCCUCAAGCCCGGCUUGCGGUUGGGUACCGCCGUGGGCGACCACGGCGGACCUGAAAGGUAAUGGCGGUGCCCGUGGGGCCCUGGACGCAGCGAGCUUCUCGGCACGCGUCCCGGCGGUCCCCGGCGGCGUCUCCACCAACCCACCACGCAGAUUGACCUCGGAUCAGGUAGGGAUACCCGCUGAACUUAAGCAUAUCAAUAAGCGGAGGA